GCCGCCGUAGCUCAGUGGUAGAGCGCAUCAUUGGUAAUGCUGAGGUCGGCAGUUCAAUCCUGCCCGGCGGCACCA
rnacentral:tRNA from 1 species